GAACACUGAACAUGGGUAUAGAUUACCCAGAGUAGGUGACGUCAUUCGUGUUCCCUCCUCUUCCCCACAAGCCAGCGCGCUGGGACUCAGUAUAGCUUCAGUCUACCCUAUGGGUUUAUAGGGGGAAGUCGCGUCGCUCCAAUCCUCUGCCUGGAUUUUGCGCUACAGACGUGUUCGGGUACCGUUUACCCACGUUCAGUGAUAAGAGUAUAUAGAAAAAACUGGGUAAUGUGUACAACAAAGAAGAAUGUGCUCCUCCUUUCAAGUAUGCACACACAGCAAGUAGUGAAUGAUGUCACCGGAAAGCCUAACAUAAUUGAAUAUUAUAAUGAGACAAAAGGAGGGGUCGACAAAAAGACACGUUUCAGGUGUCACAGCUGCCGCCAACCUGUUUGCCCGAGCCACUACUUCCCCUACUGCUGUGAUUGCAUAUAAGGCUGAGUUCCCGCAUCCCCCGUGCCUUGAUGACCCCCUGGGAUGAGAGCCUGACAUCCUUGGAAUUGUGUGGGAGCAUCUGAGCGAUUUUUUGGGGAGGGUUUUUUUUUGCUUAAUUUUUUUGCAAAAACAUUCAAAUUUUUUCACUUUUACUUUUUACAUUCCUUUCUUUUUGCUUUUUAAUUCAAGUUUCUGAAAGUAAGUAUUCUAAUUUAAUAGUUUCAUUACUAGGUAAUAGGGUUAUAUUUAGUGUGUAAGGGAUAGGAUUAAUAAAUUUGCAUAUUUAC